rnacentral:rRNA from 1 species
AACGAACGCUGGCGGCGUGGAUAAGACAUGCAAGUCGAACGGGACAACAUCUGUAGCAAUACAGGUGUUGUUUAGUGGCGAACGGGUGCGUAACACGUAAGCGACCUACCUCGAUGUGGGGCAUAGCCGGCCUAACGGCCGGGUAAUUCCGCAUACGCUCUUGGAGGGGCAUAUCUCCGAGAUGAAACCAGCAAUGGGCAUUGAGAGGGGCUUGCGGCCUAUCAGCUAGUUGGUGAGGUAACGGCUCACCAAGGCUACGACGGGUAGCUGGUCUGAGAGGAUGGCCAGCCACAUUGGGACUGAGAAACGGCCCAGACUCCUACGGGAGGCAGCAGUGGGGAAUCUUGCGCAAUGGCCUAACGGCUGACGCAGCGACGCCGCGUGAGGGAUGAAGCUCUUCGGAGUGUAAACCUCUGUUGAUCGGGACGAAUGGCGGUAUUUUUCCGACUUGACGGUACCGAUUGAGGAAGCACCGGCUAACUCCGUGCCAGCC